rfam:Phlebotomus papatasi Contig5000.2, whole genome shotgun sequence.
GCCCCAAUAGCUCAGUUGGUAGAGUAUUCGCCUAGAUAGCGAAAGGCUCCCAGUUCAAGCCUGUGUGGAGGCA